GACGAACGCUGGCGGCGUGCUUAACACAUGCAAGUCGAACGGAAAGGCCCUGCGUUUGUGGGGUGCUCGAGUGGCGAACGGGUGAGUAACACGUGAGUAACCUGCCCUUGACUUUGGGAUAACUUCAGGAAACUGGGGCUAAUACCGGAUAGGAGCUCCUGCUGCAUGGUGGGGGUUGGAAAGUUUCGGCGGUUGGGGAUGGAAUCGCGGGUUAUCAGCUUGUUGGGGGGGUAGUGGCUGACCAAGGCUUUGACGGGUAGCCGGCCUGAGAGGGUGACCGGCCACAUUGGGCCUGAGAUACGGCCCAGACUCCUACGUUAGGCAGCAGUGGGGAAUAUUGCACAAUGGGCGGACGCCUGAUGCAGCAACGCCGCGUUCGGGAUGCCGUCCUUCGGGUUGUAAACCGCUUUCUCCUUUGACGAAGCGUGAGUGACGGUACUGGGUAAAGAAGCACCGGCUAACUACGUG
rnacentral:rRNA from 1 species